AUUGAACGCUGGCGGCAGGCCUAACACAUGCAAGUCGAGCGGAGCGGCGGACGGGUGAGUAAUGCCUAGGAAUCUGCCUGGUAGUGGGGGAUAACGUCCGGAAACGGGCGCUAAUACCGCAUACUAUCAGAUGAGCCUAGGUCGGAUUAGCUAGUUGGUGGGGUAAAGGCCUACCAAGGCGACGAUCCGUAACUGGUCUGAGAGGAUGAUCAGUCAAACUGGAACUGGGACACGGGCCAGACUUCUACGGGGGGGAGCAGUUGGGGGUAUUGCACCAAUGGCGAAAGCCUGAUGGCGCGACGCCGCGUGGGGGAUUAAGGCUUUUGGGUUGGAAACCUCUUUCGGGAUCCAACGGGUAGGUGGAGAAGAAGCGCCGGCUAACUACGUGCCAGCAGCCGCGGUAAUAC
rnacentral:rRNA from 1 species